ACAGAAGAAACGGAGUUUGUUAGGUCGAUCGUUUUGUUCGCCGGGCAAGAACAGGUUAAGCCGUUUUCACGCAACUUUCGCGAAAAUGUAAAUGAUAGCGAUUUUUUAAAAAUAUAUACGAUCCAAGUUGAUUUACCGAAAUGAGUAAAAAUAAGAAACACUUCUGUAUAAAAAAAAAAAAAAAAAUAAUGAUCACAGACAGUCGAUGGAUAGUUCAGAUAAAUUGGACAUUUUUUAGAACCAGGUGAGAGAAGCUUUAUAAAAGUGUCGAAGAAAAUUAACAUUGAAAUUCUUGUUCGAUCGUGCUGUUCAACGAUCAGGCGAUUUUAUUAGCAUAUUUAAAAUAAAUUUUAUUGUUCCAUCUUAUAACGUACUGUGAGUUUCUUAAGUCUUUCUCACGAGGAAAAUCACACAAGUGUUGGAGAUAUUACUUAAUAAGAUUACUCCUCUCUCAGUUCAGUACAAGAGAGACUUAGUGAAGUUGUUCAAUGUAGGAUUAUAAAUCUCACGUCUUAAAUUUCAUCAUACGUAAUACCAUUAUUAAUAUUUAUCGCCUAUAAAAUGUUGAAAGUAUGUAUUUUGUAUGCCUCAUGUUAUUACAUCGCCCAAGAAUUAAGAUUGACAAAUCAACCAAAAAUUCUUAAGAAUGUUCAACAUUAAAAAUUUUAAAACGAAAUACCGUUGACCGGUUUAAUGGAUAGUAAAAGGAAAAGAAUUCAGAAUGAGCUUACAGAAUAACUUACUGAAUAAUUAUUUUUUAUCGUCACAUCUUUUCUGACACGUUUUCUGCUUCUUCGAGUCAAUACAUUUUAAUAAUUACGUUGCAUACAAAAGCAUUAAAAACAUAUAAUUUCUAAAACCAUUUCGCUGAAGCGUCUCUCGUACUACAUUGUAAAAGAAUUAAUGUUCAUAGGCUAUUACUUAUUUCAGUAAAAGUAUCUAAACGCAAAUUGAAUGUUGUGACCAUAAUUGAAACCGAUUGAAACUCUAUGAAAAGAAACGUUUCGAUCGUAUCGGCGAUUUAAUAUCGCUACGUUCGAAGAAUACUUUCACUGGAUGCCACAAUAGAUAGAAAAAUGACAAUAGCGAUCGUAGAAGCGCGAAAUCUCGACACGGUUACAGGCGAUCGACGACUCUUGUUUUACAUUAAAAGAACCGCUAACCGAUUUGUAACGAUGGAUCGGCAAAUACACUACUAAUUAACGUACGCUGUCAUGUAAAACGACAAUAACCUUUUACAAUGGUUUCUUCACUUUCACAAUUCGUGUGAUAACAAGCAUGAACGACAAGCAAAUAGUAUUCUACCAUGAUUCAUUUGGAAAGUAGAAACUGCAUUAAACUAUGUCGACCAUAGUUGAACUUAGCAAACAAAAGUCAAUGGACAUACGAAAAAAGGUAUAAGAAUUACUGACAGUUUGAACUUUAAAUCUUUUUGAGUAAUAUAUUUAACAAUAUUAAGUAUUAUGUAAAUAGGAAAUAAAAAUAUUAUAAAUGUAUGAAAUCGUAGAAAUUAAAAAGAAAUUAAUUACACAGGGAAUAAUAAUUUAACAAUAAUUAACUGUACCCGAUCAUCGUAUAGUCCAUUGCUUCUGAACGUUAUGUGACAUUUGAUUGAAUUAACUGAAAGAAAAACGACGGAUGUACAUAGUGAUGCUGACCGUGAACUAACGAAGCCGGGCGUUACGCGUUAUUACUCAAGUUCACGGGUCAAAGUUCGAACGACUAUGCGUGAGUUUCGUGUAUGUCGGUCAUGAAUGUUUAUACCUAUGUCGCUUGGCCACGGAACAAUUGACCCCAAUAUAUAGGUCGCUUUCCACCAAUCAGCGUAUAUUUCCCUCAUAUUACUUCCACAAAUGUUGCCACAUCUAUAAAUACGACCUAUUAAGUAAACUAUUUAUAUUGAAAUUUACAGUUGAUCAUUCUUUUAAAGAUGAAUUAAUUUUAAUAAUACCAUUGUGAUUAAUUCAUGUUUAUUGUGCUUGAAAUUUUUCUUAACUGUUACAUAUUAUAAAAUUCUAGAUGCAAAUAAAAUGCAAGAAAGAAAGAAAUUGCUUUCGUUUAGAUUGUUUUAGAGAAUUGUCUUCAUUAUUGUGAGCUAACUCCUACGAUUCUUCGAUUCUCUUUAAAGAAAUUGCUUUCAAACAACCGUGUUUCAUUCGAUUAAUCCAUCUACUUAUUAUUGCAAAGUUGUAGACAUAAACUGAAUACGAAAGAAAUGAAUAAUUUCAGAAUGCUCCCUAGAAGCCUGUCUCCUGUAAUUAAGCAUUGUAAUUAAUCGCCCAAUCUUCGAACGUUCAAGCUCUUUCGAAAAACCAUCUCAACUUGAUUAACCCUCGUAUCGUUCAACAAAUGAAAAAGCCUCUUAAACGUAAAAGCCUAACCUAUAUAAAUGUGAAAACUGCAUUACCUCUUCCUCGAACAUUCAAACCACUUCCAAAAAUAUAUCAAACCCAGCUUAAUACCUCUGCAACGCAUCUCCGCUGAACAACCGUACAUACAUUCACCAUGCUACCAAGAAUAUUCAUCAGGAAGAACGUUGGAAGGCGAGCUACUUCCAUUCGUUGUCGCGAAACCUCGCUAGACAAAUGAUUCAGCCAGACCGACCUGGUUCAAUUUUUAAACCAGCUGAAAAAGCGAUGGAGGGGGUGUAAGCGCGAAAAAAUCGAGUGCAACGAAUGCGUGCAUCGACGUCGAGAUGCGAUCGCACGCGGCCGAGCAUCAGAAAUAGCCGGCGCGGUAAUAAAAGUUCUCGGAAGACGUGCGAACUCGUCGGCUGUCACCAAUUAUGGAGUUGUAUGAGACUCGAUGCCGCGCACCGAAAUAUUGGAAGUAAUUGCUGGGAUCGUAUUACGUGGAAUGUAACAUGCAUGUGGAUGUAAAUCGUGGAACGAAUCAUGGUGGAGGAUCGGCUGUUGAAAAGUAUGUUUGGAGAGUUGAUAAGCUUAGAAUACUAGGGUGCUUUGGGGCGAAACUGAAUUUGGAAGAAUCCUCAGAACUUUAUCAUUCUGGAUUUUCACCAAAACUACUCUGGAAGCAAUUGUCUACUUUUGAGAAACGUGUAAUGGAAAUUUUAGAAAAUAGAAUUAUAGGAUAUAGAUGUAAGAAUAUGUAUUAAAAUUGAAAUAUGUAUAUGUGUUUUUGUAUUAAAAUUGCUUAAAAUCUA